AGGAUUUACCCUGAGGAACAUUUACAAGAGUUUGAACAGUGUGUAAAAUGUUCAUCAAAAUUGUUUUAAGUGCAAAGCAAGAAAUCACAUAUUAAAACAGAGAAAUUUUGUUGUUUGGUAAAAAAUACAUGCUUAUUUUGAACUUAGGGGCAGGAGCAUGUUUCUCAUCCUCAGUCAUACUAAUAGACUGUAUAUACUAUGGAUAAUUUGGUUCCGCCUCCCGCCUGUAUAUGGAUUUGAAGCCAAAAAGCUCUCAGUAUUUCCGGGAUUUUUCUUUAUUUCUUGAAACCAGCGCAGCACAGUAGCAUUGUACGUAUUUGGCGGGGGAGCUGCCGUGAGUCGCUGUGAUGCUCAAACAGCGUGUCCCCCCGGUGAGCUACGCAAUCCCUGAACGCCAAUAGGCUGUAUCAGGUGUCAAUCAUAGAAAACAUGAACCCCCUAAUAACUUUUAAAAACAG